AUUGAACGCUGGCGGCAGGCCUAACACAUGCAAGUCGAACGGUAACAGAAAGCAGCUUGCUGCUUUUCUGCCGAGUGGCGGCCGGGUGAGUAAUGUCUGGGAAACUGCCUGAUGGAGGGGGAUAACUACUGGAAACGGUAGCUAAUACCGCAUAACGUCGCAAGCCCAAAGAGGGGGACCUUCGGGCCUCUUGCCAUCGGAUGUGCCCAGAUGGGAUUAGCUAGUAGGUGGGGUAACGGCUCACCUAGGCGACGAUCCCUAGCUGGUCUGAGAGGAUGACCAGCCACACUGGAACUGAGACACGGUCCAGACUCCUACGGGAGGCAGCAGUGGGGAAUAUUGCACAAUGGGCGCAAGCCUGAUGCAGCCAUGCCGCGUGUAUGAAGAAGGCCUUCGGGUUGUAAAGUACUUUCAGCGGGGAGGAAGGGAGUAAAGUUAAUACCUUUGCUCAUUGACGUUACCCGCAGAAGAAGCACCGGCUAACUCCGUG
rnacentral:rRNA from 1 species